rnacentral:rRNA from 1 species
CAGUAAUGCACCGGAUCCCAUCAGAACUCCGUAGAUCAGUAUGAGUGGGUGAGAGGUAGUAAUUGGAAGGGAGACCUCAGGGGAAGUCCUCUUGUUCCACCCC